rnacentral:rRNA from 1 species
CCCUUAGAUGUUCUGGGCUGCACGCGCGCUACACUGACGCACGCAACAGGUGCCUGCUCCGAGAGGACUGGGUAAUCAUUUGAGUGUGCGUCGUGAUGGGGAUAGAAUAUUGUAAUUAUUACUCUUCAACGAGGAAUUCCCAGUAAGCGCAAGUCAGCAGCUUGCGCUGAUUACGUCCCUGCCCUUUGUACACACCGCCCGUCGCUCCUACCGAUGGGUGAUCCGGUGAAUGAUUCGGACUUCAGCGGCUCCUCUGGGGUGCGCCGGAGAAAGUUUUGUGAACCUUAUCACUUGGAGGAAGGAGAAGUCGUAACA